rnacentral:rRNA from 1 species
GGGCAACCUGCCUGUAAGACUGGGAUAACUUCGGGAAACCGGAGCUAAUACCGGAUAAUAUAAGGAACCUCCUGGUUCUUUAUUGAAAGAUGGUUUCGGCUAUCACUUACAGAUGGGCCCGCGGCGCAUUAGCUAGUUGGUGAGGUAACGGCUCACCAAGGCGACGAUGCGUAGCCGACCUGAGAGGGUGAUCGGCCACACUGGGACUGAGACACGGCCCAGACUCCUACGGGAGGCAGCAGUGGUCAUAG